rnacentral:rRNA from 1 species
AAGCAGUGCGGGGUGCUUACCAUGACAGUCGAGCGGUAAGGCCCUUCGGGGUACACGAGCGGCGAACGGGUGAGUAACACGUGAGCAACCUGCCCCUGACUCCGGGAUAAGCGGUGGAAACGCCGUCUAAUACCGGAUACGACCCGCCACCUCAUGGUGGAGGGUGGAAAGUUUUUCGGUCAGGGAUGGGCUCGCGGCCUAUCAGCUUGUUGGUGGGGUAACGGCCUACCAAGGCGAUUACGGGUAGCCGGCCUGAGAGGGCGACCGGCCACACUGGGACUGAGACACGGCCCAGACUCCUGCGGGAGGCAGCAGUGGGGAAUAUUGCGCAAUGGGCGAAAGCCUGACGCAGCGACGCCGCGUGGGGGAUGACGGCCUUCGGGUUGUAAACCUCUUUUACCACCAACGCAGGCUCCCAGUUCUCUGGGGGUUGACGGUAGGUGGGGAAUAAGGACCGGCUAACUACGUGCCAGCAGCCGCGGUAAUACGUAGGGUCCGAGCGUUGUCCGGAAUUAUUGGGCGUAAAGAGCUCGUAGGCGGCGUGUCGCGUCUGCUGUGAAAGACCGGGGCUUAACUCCGGUUCUGCAGUGGAUACGGGCAUGCUAGAGGUAGGUAGGGGAGACUGGAAUUCCUGGUGUAGCGGUGAAAUGCGCAGAUAUCAGGAGGAACACCGGUGGCGAAGGCGGGUCUCUGGGCCUUACCUGACGCUGAGGAGCGAAAGCAUGGGGAGCGAACAGGAUUAGAUACCCUGGUAGUCCAUGCCGUAAACGUUGGGCGCUAGGUGUGGGGACUUUCCACGGUUUCCGCGCCGUAGCUAACGCAUUAAGCGCCCCGCCUGGGGAGUACGGCCGCAAGGCUAAAACUCAAAGGAAUUGACGGGGGCCCGCACAAGCGGCGGAGCAUGUUGCUUAAUUCGACGCAACGCGAAGAACCUUACCAAGGUUUGACAUCACCCGUGGACUCGCAGAGAUGUGAGGUCAUUUAGUUGGCGGGUGACAGG